CCCUUAGAUGUUCGGGGCCGCACGCGCGCUACACUGAACGGUUCAAUGGGUAAGGUAGUGCGAAAGCAUGACCUAAUCUCGAAAUCCGUUCGUGCUGGGGAUAGAAGCUUGCAAUUAUCCUUCUUGAACGAGGAAUACCUUGUAAGCGUGAGUCAUCAUCUCACGCUGAAUACGUCCCUGCCCUUUGUACACACCGCCCGUCGCUCCUACCGAUUGAGUGUUCCGGUGAGGCUUUGGGAGAAUGGCCUCAACAUGAGUUUAUCGUGUUUUGCCGUUUGAACUUAGUCAAACCUUAUCACUUAGAGGAAGGAGAAGUCGUAACA
rnacentral:rRNA from 1 species